UACUGAGAGCAAAUAAAAUAAAUGAAUGUCUCCUCUCCCGCCUCUGGAUAUUACAGCAAACACAGAGCACAUUGCUGUGGCCUCCAGCCAACCCCUGCAAUUCCCCGACACAAUAGAUCGGUUGUGGACAGCGGCAGCUAGUGAGGCACAGCGUGGAAGCUUUUAAUUCCUGCUUUUUAUCAUUUUAUCUCAUCACCUUGGCAUCAUCAAGGUAGCAUUUUGGUGUUCACUUCACAGGAAGGAGAGAAUGAAUGGAUACAGUCAGACCCGCGUUUUGUGUGGAAGCAAAGAAGCACGAGGAAACUGUCUCAAGUUGUACUACGGAAGAUUUACAUUGGACAUUAGGAAGAAUUUCUUCAUAGUGGUCAAACAAUGGAAUGGGCUGUCCAAGGAAAUGAUGGGGUCCCCCUCCCCAGAGUUGUUUAUGAGAAAUGUGGAUGUGGCACGAAGGGACGUUGUUUAGUAAAAGGUCUCAGUAUAUCAGAUUGAUAGUUGGAUUUGGUGACCUUGAAGUUGUUUUCCAACCUAGAUGAUUCCCUGAUUCUGUGAUUCUGUUUAAAUGCUGAGGUUACACAUAAACAAGGCCCGGUGUCCCAGCUGGCUGGCAGCCUCUAUUUCAGGGGGAAGAGGCAAUGGGAUGGCUGGGGAAGGUGAAAUGUUGAAAAUGUGUGUUCUGAAAGCAGACUAGUAAUGAUCCUUGAGAAGAUAUUCAUUUGUGUCUAAUGUGGCUAAGGAAAAGAAGGAAGAAGAGAAACCUGAGCAAACAAAUACAUUGUGGACAGCCCAGCAGAACUGAGUUUUACAGCCAGCUCUGCUGCCCAGGAGCAUCACUUUCCUCAACUCAUUCCAGGACGCCUGCAGCACUCUGACCGCAGACUGACUUGUGACUGCUCAGCCCACCAGCAAGUCUGGGGGAGUGGAGAGGAGAUGAUGGGUCCUAUCUCCAGUCUGGCCAGAGGACACCUCAAGCAGUCUCAGGCUCUCUGAAGCCACAGGGCCACACCACAUCCUUCUUCCCAAAACUGCAAAUCCCAAGGGGGCUGAUAACUAGGAAAAUCCAGAGUAAAAUAUGUAGAAACUUCUUACAGAGCUUUCCCUUCAUCUGCAUUUGUAGAAGGAGUGACCAAACUCUCAAGGUUGCUAGCCUAAAGUUUGACAUCCAUUAACAAUAUACAUUUGUUUUCAACAUCUACAUAAACAGGAUCCUGUGUACCCCGUCUCCUUUAGAGAGAAAAAUAAAAAUAAACAAAUAUCAUGUGUGUAUCCAGGAACCUCACACAGAAUGCUUGCAAAAUUAUAUGUGCCCUCUGCCUGUAAAACUCUGCUGUGCUCAGGUGUUUGUAGCAUUUGGGCCUUUGUGAGAGAAAACAAGAGAAACUCAUUGACCUCAGUAUGUCUUGGGACAAAGAUUCCUGAAGAAUUAUUGUAUAGACAAGGGAAAGAAAUUCUUUAGGUUAUUAUAGAAAUUACUGGAAAAAACAUCUUUUAAGAAAAAAAAAAUGCUUGAUA
ensembl:lncRNA